GCUGGGCAUGGUGGCUGUAUGCCUGUAAUCCCAGCACUUUGGGAGGCUGAGGCAGGAGGAUCACCUGAGGUCAGGAGUUCAGACCAGCCUGGCCAACAUGGUGAAACCCUGUCUCUA
rnacentral:SRP_RNA from 1 species